GACGAACGCUGGCGGCGUGCCUAAUACAUGCAAGUCGAGCGGACGGAUGGGAGCUUGCUCCCAGACCGUCAGCGGCGGACGGGUGAGUAACACGUGGGCAACCUGCCUGUAAGACUGGGAUAACUCCGGGAAACCGGGGCUAAUACCGGAUAACUCUUUCCCUCACAUGAGGGAAAGCUGAAAGAUGGCAUCUCGCUAUCACUUACAGAUGGGCCCGCGGCGCAUUAGCUAGUUGGUGAGGUAACGGCUCACCAAGGCGACGAUGCGUAGCCGACCUGAGAGGUUGAUCGGCCACACUGGGACUGAGACACGGCCCAGACUCCUACGGGAGGCAGCAGUAGGGAAUCUUCCGCAAUGGACGAAAGUCUGACGGAGCAACGCCGCGUGAGUGAUGAAGGUUUUCGGAUCGUAAAACUCUGUUGUCAGGGAAGAACAAGUACCGGAGUAACUGCCGGUACCUUGACGGUACCUGACCAGAAAGCCACGGCUAACUACGUG
rnacentral:rRNA from 1 species